rnacentral:ncRNA from 2 species
AACAUCCGACAGGGGAGCGCGAACAGCGCUGAGAGUGCGGCUCGGCCGCAGACCCUCGGACCUGAUCCGGGUCAUACCGGCGUAGGGAGUCAGCCUCAUAUGAAC